AGUGAACGCUGGCGGUAGGCCUAACACAUGCAAGUCGAACGGCAGCACAGUAAGAGCUUGCUCUUACGGGUGGCGAGUGGCGGACGGGUGAGGAAUACAUCGGAAUCUACUUUUUCGUGGGGGAUAACGUAGGGAAACUUACGCUAAUACCGCAUACGACCUACGGGUGAAAGCAGGGGAUCUUCGGACCUUUCGCGAUUGAAUGAGCCGAUGUCGGAUUAGCUAGUUGGCGGGGUAAAGGCCCACCAAGGCGACGAUCCGUAGCUGGUCUGAGAGGAUGACGGGCAAAACUGAAACGGAGAAACGGUCAAGACUCCUAGGGGAGGAAGAGGAGGGAAAUAUUGGAAAAUGGGGGAAAGCCUGAUCAAGACAUACCGCGUGGGUGAAGAAGGCUUUCGGGUUGUAAAGCCCUUUUGUUGGGAAAGAAAAGCGGCAGGUUAAUAACCCGCUGUUCUGACGGUACCAAAAGAAUAAGCACCGGCUAACUUCGU
rnacentral:rRNA from 1 species